CACGUAGGGUGCGAGCGUUAAUCGGAAUUACUGGGCGUAAAGUGUGCGCAGGCGGCGCCGCAUGUCGAGUGUGAAAGCCCCGAGCUUAACUUGGGAAUUGCGCUCGAAACUACGGUGCCGGAGUGUGGCAGAGGAAGGUGGAAUUCCACGUGUAGCGGUGAAAUGCGUAGAGAUGUGGAGGAACACCGAUGGCGAAGGCAGCCUUCUGGGCCAACACUGACGCUCAUGCACGAAAGCGUGGGGAGCAAACAGG
rnacentral:rRNA from 1 species